UACGGAGGGGGGCUAGCGUUGUUCGGAAUUACUGGGCGUAAAGCGUACGUAGGCGGCUUUGUAAGUUAGAGGUGAAAGCCCGGGGCUCAACCCCGGAAUUGCCUUUAAGACUGCAUCGCUUGAACGUCGGAGAGGUGAGUGGAAUUCCGAGUGUAGAGGUGAAAUUCGUAGAUAUUCGGAAGAACACCAGUGGCGAAGGCGGCUCACUGGACGACUGUUGACGCUGAGGUACGAAAGCGUGGGGGAGCAAACGGG
rnacentral:rRNA from 1 species